rnacentral:rRNA from 1 species
AUUGAACGCUGGCGGCAGGCCUAACACAUGCAAGUCGAGCGGUAACAGGGGUAGCUUGCUACCCGCUGACGAGCGGCGGACGGGUGAGUAAUGCAUAGGAAUCUGCCCGAUAGUGGGGGAUAACCUGGGGAAACCCAGGCUAAUACCGCAUACGUCCUACGGGAGAAAGGGGGCUUCGGCUCCCGCUAUUGGAUGAGCCUAUGUCGGAUUAGCUAGUUGGUGAGGUAAUGGCUCACCAAGGCAACGAUCCGUAGCUGGUCUGAGAGGAUGAUCAGCCACAUCGGGACUGAGACACGGCCCGAACUCCUACGGGAGGCAGCAGUGGGGAAUAUUGGACAAUGGGCGCAAGCCUGAUCCAGCCAUGCCGCGUGUGUGAAGGAGGCCUUCGGGUUGUAAAGCACUUUCAGCGAGGAAGAACGCCUAGGGGUUAAUACCCCCUAGGAAAGACAUCACUCGCAGAAGAAGCACCGGCUAACUCCGUGCCAGCAGCCGCGGUAAUACGGAGGGUGCGAGCGUUAAUCGGAAUUACUGGGCGUAAAGCGCGCGUAGGUGGCUUGAUAAGCCGGUUGUGAAAGCCCCGGGCUCAACCUGGGAACGGCAUCCGGAACUGUCAAGCUAGAGUGCAGGAGAGGAAGGUAGAAUUCCCGGUGUAACGGUGAAAUGCGUAGAGAUCGGGAGGAAUACCAGUGGCGAAGGCGGCCUUCUGGACUGACACUGACACUGAGGUGCGAAAGCGUGGGUAGCAAACA